GAAGCAGCAGAGAGAGAGAGAGUUUGUUGUGUCAAUAACAAGGACCUGUCUAGGAAACCAGUUUAUGUUGCAAACUUGUGGAUAACUUGAUCUUUUGGCUACACACUUGUCCAGUUUUAUCCCAAUUAUCUCACUUCUGCAGACACUUUCCCAUUUUAAAACAGCUAAAUUGAGAGCCUGACUUCUGUCCGUGAACUUACCGGACUGCAGCACGGGCUGGAACUGACCAGCCAUGCAGAUCUCUUCCUGUUUCUGGCGGACGAUGCGCUGGAUUGCAGGAGGUAGGCCACGGGGGUUGCGUGAGAAGAUCAGGGCAUAGCCGUCAUCACAUGUGCCAUCAUCCU